GAAAUCCACAUUAUUUUAAAGUUGAUUUCCUUGGAUGAAGUAAAAUUCUUUCUUGGAUUUAUCAUUUCCCGUCCCAAAAUGUUAUUCACGAGUAUUCACAUUCAUCAUAAUUCAUACAUGUAAUCAAAUUCCAUUUCUUUCCCUCAAAAAAAAACCAAAUUCCAUUUCUACGAAUCUACCAUCAGCUUGUUUCAGCACCGCCGGUGAGUUUGGCGCCCCCACUGAUGCCACAGUGUGAUGCGUGUCACAUUAACAACCUCAGCAGCGAGUUUCAGUUUGGCACCCAGAAUUGAACCGCAGAACCUGGAAAAUCGAUUGCUUCUACAUGGACAAGGAGAACAAACAAUGGCCAGGAGAAAGAUUUUGUUGCUCUUGAAACCCUUUGAUGUUCACCAUCUUCGCCUUUCUGAAUCAUUUUCUGGAGUUUCCAAUUCUAAGAAUUUGUGAAGAGGAGAGAGAAAAACUAUGGAAAGGAGAGAGAAACUGUGAAGAGGAGAGAGAAAGUAAUGGAAAAUUCUCAGAUAUUGGUUGAUUUUUCUACUUCAAUGUCAAAUUCUAUUGAUUCUUCUUCUUCAAAUUUGAAUUCCUCUGCUGAUAAUUCGAUUUGUGAAGCUGUUUUUGAAGAUUUAACAUCAUUUGUUGCGGGUCAAGUAAAAGCUUCAUUUGCCUUUCAAUACUGUACUUUUGAAAAAAGAACAAACAUAAAAGAACAUUAAGAUUUAUAUCUAAUAAACAUAAAAGAACAGAACAACAAAACCCAAAAAAAAAAAAAAAACAAGUGCACCGUUCUUAUCAUGAACAUGGCUUGUAUUUCUUAUCCUUCCCCCUCUUUUUUUUUAUUUUUUUUAUUUUUCAUUUUCUAUAUAUAUAAUAUUUCUCCUAUUGGAUUCAUAAAUUCUCAUUUUAGAAACACAUUCUUGAGAGAGAAAGAGGAGUGCUUUUAGUUUCUCCCAACAAAAGAGAGAUUUUAUGAGAGAGAAAGUUCAAAACAAAUUUUCUCCUCCUUCUUUCUCUGAAAUGUGAUUUUAAUUGAAUUACGUUUACAAAAAACUAGUUUAUUAAGCGAAAUACUAUUUCAAUUUCGCUAUUUUUUGAAUUUUUUUAUUCAUUCAAAGAGGUUUAUGCUGUUGAUGAAGGUGCAUCGGGUGAUUAAGGUGCACCAAGAGCACCAUGCACACCCCUGCACAAUCUGAGCGUUGAUCAAGAAGUAGCACAUUUCGAGUUGGGUGCAGGGAAAGGAAUUGUCCAAUUCCUUGAAAGAUUUCAUGUUUCACACUAACAUGAAACUUCUGAUACUUGGCAUGGACAACCUAUCUCGAUAGUUCACUCAUCUACUUCAUGCUAUCUGUGUCUUGCCAUCUUCUUGAUGUAUAAGGUCACAGAAAAAUCGAGUGAAUGUGGAAACUGCAUAUUUGAAAAGUUUAUCUGUCUGGAUUAUUCACUUGUUGGGUCCUCAUGGUUUCAUUUUUUAACUCUUAAUGGUGAACUUGGAUUUUGUUUUGUUUUCUAUCUUAUGAACAGUACAUUACAUGUAUGCUAAUGUUACGAUUUCUUGAAUAAUUAAAAGCUGUUGUCAUGCUACUAGAGUAAUCGUUGUUGUCUGAAGCCAUGUAACUAUGUAAAGCUAUAUCAGAUGCGGUACUAUGACCAUUUUUUUUUGGGUAAUUGUCACCCGGGUACAAUUAAUUCUGUACAAAACUGCAGACACUUCGCCAUUUGGACAACAGAAUUCAAGUUCACAGGGAUGCUAUAAGCUUUUGUCAGGAAGUUCUAAAACGAAAGUCGGUUGAGUGGGAAACUCUAUUUCACACUGAUUUAUCUCGCCCAAUCCGAGACGUGGAUUUGGUCGUAACUGUUGGAGGUGAUGGCACUCUUUUACAAGCUAGUCACUUUAUGGAUGAUAGUGUUCCAGUUGUAGGACUAAAUUCGGAUCCCACACAGGUUGAAGAGGUGGAACGGUUCAAAGACGAGUUUGAUGCUACUAGAAGUGCAGGCUACCUUUGUGCAGCUACUGUCAACAACUUUGAACAGGUACCUGGUUACAACAUUCAAAAUUGUUCCAAGAGGGACCGAAGGUGCUGUAAGUGUUGAGGGAACCAUUGCUGGGCUUCUAGCUUCAAUUCUGCUUGCCUUUGUUGGUUGUCUUAUUCGCCAGGUUCUCUAUUCUACUUGCAGCUGAAUUCUGUACAAUUGUGUUUUCUUUCUUAAAGUUUGUUGCAUGGAAAUUUUGCUUUUUUUCACUGGCUUGCUGGAUAAUACGACAAUGGGCCUACUAAGGAUUGUUAUCUUUGUAGCGUGUUUGGUUACUGGGUAGCGAGUCGCCCGAAGUGCUAGAUUAGCUAAUCUAACUUGUAACGUAAUUAUGUAAGCACCAUAUAAGACCCAAGUUUUUACAUCCAGUGGAGCCUUCUAUGA